GGACAUAGCUCAGUGCUGGAUCAUUUGCCUUGCAUGCAGAAGGUCUCAGGUUUAAUCCCUGGCAUCUCCU